ACCCAACCCAAACCCUUUGUCAUUCCCAAUGGAUAGGUGGGCUCCUGUUCACUCAUACCCAUCAGUGAUCUCAUAGGUAGUGUGACGGAGCUGCUGAUACACCAAGAUCUCAUUCACUGGCAGUAGCCUUUUCAGCAGCCUCCCUUCCCCUUGGUCAUCAACCUGGUAAACUAGCUGUAGAAUGAGGUGAAGAGGGAGAGAAGGUCAUUUCAGCCCUAUGUGGAUGGAUCCCUUCUUGGGUGGCCAGGCCAGUUUGGAACAUCUGUAUUCCGUUCUGCUCACCUGCUGCAGACCCAUACUGUCAUAGAAGAUACUGAUUGAGGUCUCAUUAUGUAAAUACAAGCUGGAGGCCUCCAUAUGGGAAAGGGCAAAAAUUUCAGUGACACAGGCCACUUCACCUCGGUAGGAGCUGGUCAUGUACUUUAUUACCGACUCCUUGGGGAAUUCCGCCAGGGGAAUGAAGGGGGGAAUUUGAAAGAGCAUGGAGAUUGAGUCGAAGUUGGAAUCCGUAGCAAGUGCUCUGUACACCAAGAGCUGGAAACUUGUCUUGUUGCCUUGGGCAAACUCCAUGAGAAGGAAGAACCUCUGUUCCUCCCCUUGGUACACCACCCAGUGAAGCCAGCAUGCUGAAGCUGCAGGGAUGUGGCCAGGAUUGCUGGUCUGAUGCUGUCCAGUGGAAGUCUUUGGCCCCUUCCAGGAAGGACCCAGAACCCCUUCGGGCACUGACAGCUUCCUUGGGGUUUCAGGCCCUCCCCUGUGGACCCAUAUCCUUGGCAAGACCUCCUCUCCCCAGCCAGAGAGCUUGGGACCUUCCCAGGGGCGAUGGCCUACCCAGGUCCCUGGACAUCCUGAGAAUCAAAGCCUAUCCGGAGAAAGUCACAAGACCUUAGAGGUCGCAGAGCCCAACACCCUCGUUUUAUAGAUGAGAGAGCGGAAGCACAAGCCGAGGUCACAAAGCCAGUCAAAGUAGGACUAACCAAACCCAGCCCUCUCCUUCCUCUACCCCAUACCGCUUCCCCAGCCCUAGGUCCCAGGCAGCUCCCUUGGAGGACUCCAGAACGACUAUAUCUCUCCCUCCUCCCAUAAACCCACUCUGGGAGGUGGGUGGGAUGAGCAGCUUCCCACAACCUGCCCCAGGCAAGCACCAAACCUUUCAAGAUGUCACACAAGGAUCUCAUAAUAGGCAUCCUCUUAAAAUUCACUUUGCCAUCUGGGGAAAAAGGGAGGAAUGGGGCAUGAGGACAGGGGUCAGCCCUAGGGCUAAGGCAGAGCUGCCUCCCUCUCAUUCUCUGGCCAUGGUUAGAGGGAAGCCACAAGGGCACUCUACCCAAAGGAACAGAGGGAUAUGCCAGACCUCGUCCCCAAUGUCAGACUGGUAUUGGAAUCACUCUCACAACCUACUUUCCAUUUCUCCUUUGGGUGUCACUGUUGAACCCCAAGCCCCAAGCCUUGCACUUGCCUCCUACUGGGUGCUCUAGUACUGCCUCCAUGCAGUGGGAUCUAACCCCAGUCUAUCUCCAGAACUGGAUUUAGAUACCCUGUGUCACCAGCCUGGCACUGCCCCCAGACCUUACCACCAAGCACCCUGAAGGUGGGCGUCAGGCAAAGGAAAAAACACAUACUUCUAUGCCAGCCAUCCACAUCAGAAACAAGGCAAGAUUACACAAUGGCCUAGAAUUCUUGGGAUAAGAAAUUAAUCAGUUUUUUGGCACCUCUCUGUUUUUUGUGCUCUGGGCAAGCACGCCACCUGCCUUAUCCUUGUUAAAGCUCUGUGCGGCAUUACUACUCAAGUUGGCAAUAACAAAUUCAAGGACUGGAUGAGGAAGUCUCCUUUUAAAUCUUUUAAAAAAAUAUUUUUAAACCCUUACCUUCUGUCUUAGAAUCAAUACUGUGUAUUGGCUCCAAGGCAGAAGACUGGUAAGGGCUAGGCAAUGGGGGUUAAGUGACUUGCCCAGGGUCACACAGCUGGGAAGUAUCUGAGACCAGAUUUGAACCCAGGACCUCCUGUCUCUAGGCCUGGCUCUCAAUCCACUGAGCUACCCAGAUGCCCUCGGAAGCCUCCUUUUUGUAGAACCCACUGAUAGGAGUUAAUAUCUUAGAAGGGGCUAUUUUGUUUUUUUCUUUUUUAUCAGUGGUUGGCACAGAGCAAGCACUUAAUAAUAGAUGCUUGUGGAUUGACUGAGUGAAGUGAGUGAUCUAUUCUGUUAAUCACAGGAAUAAAGCACCAGUCAUUUAGUCAAUUUUACCGUGGGGGUAACAAAAUCACAUGUCCAUGCAAGCAUAUUGUUCAGUUGUUUCAGUCAUGUCUGAAUUUUGGUGACUGCAUUUUGAGGUUUUCUUGGCAAAGACAAUGGAGUGGUUGCCAUUUCCUUCUCCAGCUCAUUUUACAGAUGAGGAAAGUGAGGUAAUAAGUGUUUGAGGCUGUAUUUGAAAUCAGGUCUUGGGGCAUCCAGGUAGUACAAAAGAUAAGAUCACCAGGCCUGGAAUAGGGAGGACCUGGGUUCAAAUAUGACCUAAGAUACUUCCCAGGUACAUAACCCUGAGCAGGUCCCUCAACUCCCAUUGUCAAGCCCUUACCCAUCUUCUGCCACAGAGUUGUAUGUAUUGUAAGACAGAAAGUAAGGGUUAAAAAAAGAAAGAAAGCAACCACGUCUUCUUGUCAUCAGGACCUGUGCUUUAUCUAUUGUACCACCUCACUGCCCUAUUAUCCUAGGAAGGCAAUGCAGAAUAAACAUAGAGAACUGCAAAAAUCGUAACACUGAGCCACCCUCCAAUAUCCAGCAUACCAGACCUAUGAUUGUCAAAGCUGGCUCAACUCCUGUGAACAAAACUGAUACCACCUCUUGAUGCAGGACCCUUGUGGGGAGGAAAGAGCCCCACCCAAAGGCCAUAUUCUCCAUCUGAAGGCUCGCUACUCCCACCUUCUCUCCAAAUCUUGGGGCUCAGAAUCUCUCUUCACAUUUUGCUGACUCCCUUGGGCAGGGCAAUUAUCUCCUUUCUUUAUCUAUUAUCUUCCUGAGUUUAAAGUUGACCUUGGGAUCUUCCUAGUUGGGUAACCCUGGGCAAGUCACUCCACUCUGUCUCUGUUUCCCUGGAAAAUGAGCUAGAGGAGAAGUGACAAAACCACUCCAUUAUCUUUACCAAGAAAACUCCAAAGGGGGUCAUGAAGAUUCAGACAGGACCCAAAUCAUUGACCAAUAAGAAUUUAGCUAUCACUACACAUCACCUCAGUCCUCCUUACACACUGCUGAACACCACUAAUACAAGUCUCACUGUUAUAUGAAUUAGGUCCUUUGCCAACUUCCAUCUCCUAAUCUCAAGAGGGUCCUCAAAGCUGCAUAGAAAUUCUUUAAUUCUUCCUUGGGGUUCUCUGUCUAGCUCCUCGGGGCAGCUCUUUCAAACCUUUUCUUUCCUUUCAGUCAGGGAUUGUCUCAGGUAAAUUUAAUAAAGGCAGGUAGAGAUACAUGACUGAGAAAACCCAGUUUAUUAACAGUGAUAUGUAUAACUUUUUUUGGAUGUAUAACUGUUAAAAAGCAGC